GGGUAUUCACUUUGGUUUUUAUCACUGAGCGUAGUGGAGGUCCAACUACAGACUGGCUCUCUCUCCUCUCCUCUCACUCGACUCAAGAGCUCUACUUUGUCCCGUUAAGAUCCACAGGGCACAAUCAUGGAGGAAAUGGACUUUGAGCGGCGCCGGGAGCUGAGGAGGCAGAAGCGGGAGGAGAUGCGUCUGGAGGCCGAACGGUUGGCGAAGAAUGAUGAUGAUGAAGAAGAGGCGGCCCGCGAGAGGAGGCGCAGGGCACGCCAGGAGAGGCUGAGGAGCAGGGAGAGUGAGGAGCCCAGCGGACAGCCAGAUAGUCUGGUCAUGACCAACAGCCACAGUGUGACAGAGACGGUGUCUGUGAGCAGCUCUUAUGGAGGCGGUGGAGACGACGAAGACCAAGCCCUGCUGGACCGCAUGGCCAAACGCGAGGAGAGACGACAGAGACGCAUGAAAGAGGCGCUGGAGAGACAGAGGCAGCUGGAACCCACCGCGACAGAGGACAGCGACAGCACCGCCACGGAGAAAAACAACGAGGAAGAGGAGAGGCCCUCCUCCUGGCGUAGAGGUCGUUACCUUGAUAAUGAGGAAGAAGAGGAGAAGACAUCCAUGUACAGCUCAAGGAGAGAAGAGAAGGAGCAAGAGGAGCCAAGAGAGGAAGAGGAGGCUGCUCCUGAGGCUGGAGAGGAGGCAGAGGAGGGUGUAGAUGAAGAGGAGGAGCAGAGAGUGGAAGUGGUGGAGGAAAAACCGAGAAGGUCUUACUUGAGAGAACAGGAAUCAGCUGAAGAGUCUAAAACUCAAACUAAGGUGAGUGAGAGAGGCGGGGCCAGGGAGGAGGAGCAGAGGAAGCAGAAUGGAGGGCUGCAUGAGGAGGCGGCUCCCAAAAACCACAGGAAACCAGAGAGGACCCUCAGUCACGGCAGUGUACGUUCCGCUGAGGUGUCCGUGGGUGACGACCAGGACGACGCUGCCCGCCUAGAGGCAGAGCGCAAACUGGAGGAGCUGAAGCGUCGCCGUGACGACGCAGAGAGCGAGGAGUUUGAGAGGAUGAGGCAGAAGCAGCAGGAGGCCGAAGCCGAGCUGGAGGAGCUGAAGAGGAAAAGGGAGGAGAGGAGGAAGGUGCUGGAGGAGGAGGAGAGGCAGAAGAAGCAGGAGGAGGCAGAGAGGAAAGCCAGAGAGGAGGAGGAGAAGAAGAAGAUGAAGGAGGAGAUCGAAAGGAGGAGAGCAGAAGCAGCAGAGAAGAGACAGAAGGUGGAGGACACUAUGGAUGGGGAGGAUAAACCUUUCAAGUGUGUCAGCCCCCGAGGCUCCUCUCUGAAGAUUGGAGAGAGGGCAGAGUUCCUGAACAAGUCGGCACAGAAAAGCAGCACAGUGAAGAUGUCUCAUUCUCCUGUGGUGUCCAAGAUAGACAACAGGCUGGAGCAGUACACCUCAGCUGCCCAGCAGAGAGAGAACAAAGAGUCUCGAUCCCCUCGCUCUGGAGCGGUGGAUCUGCCCAUGGUCACCGACAGCAUACGGAACAUCAAGAGCAUGUGGGAGAAGGGCAGUGCGUUCACCUCGCCUGGAAGUGGCGGGAGCACAUUCAAGGAAGCAGCUGUGAUGAAGACAGGCGUGGCAGGCCGCAUCAACGACUGGCUGAAUAAAACCCCGGAGAGUGGCAAAACUUCAGGAGGAAGGCCAUCGGACCUGAAGCCUGUUGACGUCACCAACAAGCGGAGUCUAUGGGAAAACAAAGGCGCCUCUCCAACCAAGAACUCUCAUAGCUAGUUGACCUCACCAUUAAAUCUGGAAUAAGCCUGGAGAGUGAUGUGUUCCUGUGGCCAACAGCUGCCGAGCAGGCCGGGGGCUGUGGUCCACUACAGUGAGUAGUGGGGUUGGAGGGCACCAGGCAGUGGUCUGCACUGACGUAAAAAUGGCCCUGGACAGGAAAGGUGGCAGGCAGAGGGGAGACCAAAUCAGUCGCCAACGGGAUGGGGCACUAAUGUCUUGAAGAGGCCGAUAAAAGCUGGGGACCACGACAAUCCAAGACUCUUCCUUUGACUUUGUCUUAAGAACCAAAUAAUGACCACACUCCCAAGAGGGACCCCAAGAAAACGGAAGGACAGGAGAGAUGCUGUCCAAGCACUGUACCGAAACAAGAUCAUAUUUUUGUACGGUUGCCACGUAUAGUGCCUUUGCACAAUGAUUUUUGCUUUCUAAAAGAAACCUUAUGCUGUGAAAUUUGGACAUUUGUAUUUACUGUUACUAAUUACUUUAUUUUUACAGUCCUGCCAGGAAGUAAAAAAACUAAUUAAAUUUAGACUUAUCUGUUGUACUCCUUGCUGACAGUUUUGAUAGAGACAGAGUAGAUGAGCUAAAAGUUUCCACAUUCCAAAGAGAUGCGUGAAAUCAGUUCUCUCCCUCGUACAGACAAUUUUCCAUCUCUUUUUUUUAAUUUAUAUUUAAAGCAAAAGCUUCACACAUUGCUAUUUUAUUCAACGUUCACCAGUUCAGGAUAGAAAUAUAAGCACUUCUAGAAUUUAGCUGAUUUCACUUUUAUUAUGUCUUACCAAUAGUGCAGCAAUGUUCUGAGUAAUAUAUGUUAGCACAUGUGAUGUUUUGAAUAUGUCCUAUCAUACUGUAUCGUAUAUAACAUCUUUAUACUCAUAACAAAAGGUAUUUUUGCUUUUUUGUAUCCAGAAACUAUUCACCAACAGGCAGUUAAUUUUGGAGGUGAUAGGAGUGUUGAAUAUUCAGAAGGCCAUUAUGAUUUUUAUUAUCCUUCAUGUUAUUUUAUUUAUGUUUUAAUGUGUUUUGUUCUUUUCUAUUUCUAGCUGUUUUUGUAGCGUUUAUACCUGUUUGAUCACUUUAAAAUCUUCAGACAUUCCUUUUAAAAAGCAGUUGCACAAGGUGCCUUCACUGCUUAAAAGCUGUAGGUUUUAUAAUGUAGGAAAUCAGCAAACCAACCUUUUUUAAUCUACCUUUAACUUCUUUUUUGCCUCUAUGCACACUUUUAUGCUCAGCAAUCAUUUUCUAAUUGAGGGCAUACAAAGUAAAAUCAGGGUGCCUAAGCAUACAGCAAGAUACUAGUACAGUACAAGGAUAUUUACCACUAUGUAACUCUUCUGGCCUUAUGAUUGCAAUGACAACAUUUAUGACAGCUGAGGUACAGUACAUAAAAGCCUCAAAGCAACUAAGUAUGAUAUUACGACUUGUGAUUUUCUUGUUUAUUUUUCACUAACAUAGUCUUAAGUAGCGCCUUCCCUUUCAAUAGUCUUUGCACGGCACAAGCUUUGACUAGCAUAUGAGUGGUUUGCCGGGGCAUUAAAUUGAUCCAUAUUACUGCUCAAAAGUCUGACAAUCACAUUCCAUGGCUCCUGAAAAGAGCAGGGGAGCUUGACCAAAAUAUUUUUAAGUGUGAUUUAAUGUGACAUUUAUGUUUUUUAAUACAGUGGUUUCAUAAUGCUGUAUUGUUUUUUCUACAACCUUGUGUCCAUUUUAUGUUUUUUAAAAUUCUUUUACUUCUAUGUUUAACCAGACACUUGUUGUUUGUGUAGCAAUAAGCCUAUGCAAAACACACUCUCUGUAGUCUCUCUAAACACUCCCAAUGUCAUACAAGGGGGCAGUUUCCAACUGGAUGGAUGUUUAAACUAUUGUACCCUUGACUCAACAACAGCAAUAAAGACAUUGAGGUAUUCAA